UAUUAUUUUUUAACCUGAAGAACCUUUCCUCAUAAUCUCAGAUAUUAAUCAGACUUUCAAAAAAUGACCUUACUGAAAUAUGAACUAAAGCCAAAAUUCGACGAAAAUCAUGUUUUAAUUGGAAUCAGAUUUCUAAGAGAAAAGUGGUUUAGAUAAAAAAAAAAAACAUCGUAGUAAAACUAACUGACCCUUUGCUUUAAUAAGAAUCUAAAAUAAAUGUCUACAGACACGAUAAUG